rnacentral:lncRNA from 1 species
AUAAAGAUGGAAUGACUUCUAAUUUUUAGGUCCGUAUGAUUUGAAAUACUUGCACACAAACCACGCAAAACCGUUCCUAGAAAUCUCGGUCGAAAAAAGGACGUUUAGUAAUUCUAAAAGGGACUACAGGAUGAAAAACAAUAGUUUUGGCAGUUAAAGUUUGAGAUUCGAUGGUGCCGUAGAUCCGUUUGGUCAUCAGGUGUUACGAGCCACACCCAUGUCUAGCUAGAGUAGUGUGCUAGGUUCAGACUAGAGAAGAAACGGGGAACAAAGUGAUUAAAGAAUGAUCAUACCGAGGGAAUUCACUCAGAACUAACAAGAAUGAUAACGUGCUCCGACUGGAGCGGUUUAGGAACUGCUGGAAGGCUCUAGGGGAAUAAAGAUGGAAUGACUUCUAAUUUUUACGUCCGUAUGAUUUGAAAUACAUGCACACAAACCACGCAAAAGCGUUCCUGGAAAUCUCAGCCUAAAAAAGGACGUUUAGUAAUUCUAAAAGGGACUACAGGAUGAAAAAUAAUAGUUUGGGCAGUUAAAAUUUGAGAUUCGACGCUGCCGUAGAUCCGUUUGGUCAUCAGGUCUUACGAGCCACACCCAUGUCUAGCUAGAAUAGUGUGUUAGGCUCAGGCUAGAGAAGAAACGGGGAACAAACUGAUGAAAGAAUGAUCAUACCGAGGGAAUUCACUCAGAACUAACAAGAAUGAUAACGUGCUCCGACUGGAGCAGUUUAGAAACUCCUGGAAGGCUCUAGGGGAAUAAAGAUGGAAUGACUUCAAAGUUUUAGGUCCGUAUGAUUUGAAAUACUUGCACACAAACCGCGUGAAAGCGUUCCUGGAAAUCUCAACCCAAAAAAGGGCGUUUAGUAAUUCUAAAAGGGACUACAGGAUGUAAAACAAUAGUUUUGGCAGUUAAAGUUUGAGAUUCGAUGGUGCCGUAGAUCCGUUUGGUCAUCAGGUGUAACGAGCCACACCCAUGUCUAGCUAGAGUAGUGUGCUAGGCUCAGACUAGAGAAGAAACGGGGAACAAAGUGAUGAAAGAAUGAUCAUACCGAGGGAAUUCACUCAUAACUAACAAGAAUGAUAACGUGCUCUGACUUGAGCGGUUUAGGAACUGCUGGAAGGCUAUAGGGGAAUAAAGAUGGAAUGACUUCAAAUUUUUAGGUCCGUAUGAUCUGAAAUACUUGCACACAAACCGCGAGAAAGCGUUCCUGGAAAUCUCAACCCAAAAAAGGACGUUUAGUAAUUCUAAAAGGGACUACAGGAUGAAAAACAAUAGUUCUGGCAGUUAUUGUUUGAGAUUCGAUAAUCUCGUAGAUCCGUUUGGUCAUCAGGUGUAACGAGCCACACCCAUGUCUAGCUAGAGUAGUGUGCUAGGCUCAGACUAGAGAAGAAACGGGGAACAAACUGAUGAAAGAAUGAUCAUACCGAGGGAAUUCACUUAGAACUAACAAGAAUGAUAACGUGCUCCGACUGGAGCGGUUUAGGAACUGCUGGAAGGCUCUAGGGGAAUAAAGAAGGAACGACUUCUAAUUUUUAGGUCCGUAUGAUUUGAAAUAUGUGCACACAAACCACGAGAAAGCGUUCCUAGAAAUCUCGGCCCAAAAGAGGACGUUUAGUAUUCUAAAAGGGACUACAGAAUGAAAAACAAUAGUUUUGGCAGUUAAAGUUUGAGAUUUGACGGUGCCGUAGAUCUGUUUGGUCAUCAGGGGUUACGAGCCACACCCAUGUCUAGCUAGAAUAGUGUGUUAGGCUCAGGCUAGAAAAGAAACGGGGAACAAAGUGAUGAAAGAAUGAUCAUACCGAGGGAAUUCACUCAGAACUAACAAGAAUGAUAACAUGCUCCGACUGGAGCGGUUUAGGAACUGCUGGAAGGCUCUAGGGGAAUAAAGAUGGAAUGACUUCUAAUUUUUAGGUCCGUAUGAUUUGAAAUACUUGCACACAAACCGCGCGAAAGCGUUCCUGGAAAUCUCAGCCCAAAAAAGGACGUUUAGUAAUUCUAAAAGGGACUACAGGAUGAAAAACAAUAGUUUUGGCAGUUAAAGUAUGAGAUUCAACGGUGCCGUAGAUCCGUUUGGUCAUUAGGUGUUACGAGCCACACCCAUGUCUAGCUAGAAUAGUGUGCUAGGCUCAGGCUAGAGAAGAAACGGGGAACAAACUGAUGAAAGAAUGAUCAAACCGAGGGAAUUCACUCAGAACUAACAAUAAUGAUAACGUGCUCCGACUGGAGCGGUUUAGGAACUGCUGGAAGUCUCUAGGGGAAUAAAGAUGGAAUGACUUCUAAUUUUUACGUUCGUAUGAUUUGAAAAACUUGCCCAUAAACCGCGCGAAAGUGUUCCUGGAAAUCUCAGCCCAAAAAAGGACGUUUAGUAAUUUUAAAAGGGACUACACGAUGAAAAACAAUAGUUUUGGCAGGUAAAGUUUGAGAUUCGACAGUGCCGUAGAUCCGUUUGGUCAUCAGGUGUUACGAGCCACACCCAUGUCUAGCUAGAAUAGUAUGUUACGCUCAGGUUAGAGAAGAAACGGGGAACAAACUGAUGAAAGAUGAUCAUACCAAGGGAAUUCACUCAGAACUAACAAGAAUGAUAACGUGCUCCGACUGGAGCGGUUUAGGAACUGCUGGAAGGCUCUAGGGGAAUAAAGAUGGAAUGACUUCUAAUUUUUACGUCUGUAUGAUUUGAAAUACUUGCACACAAACAACGCAAAAGCAUUCCUGGAAAUCUCAUCCUAAAAAAGGACGUUUAGUAAUUCUAAAAGGGACUACAGGAUGAAAAAUAAUAGUUUGGGAAGUUAAAAUUUGAGAUUCGAUAGUGCCGUAGAUCCGUUUGGUCAUCAGGUGUUAGGAGCCACACCCAUGUCUAGCUAGAAUAGUGUGUUAGGCUCAGGCUAGAGAAGAAACAGGGAACAAACUGAUGAAAGAAUGAUCAUACCGAGGGAAUUCACUCAGAACUAGCAAGAAUGAUAACGUGCUCCGACUGGAGCAGUUUUGAAACUGCUGGAAGGCUCUAGGGGAAUAAUGAUGGAAUGACUUCUAAGUUUUUGGUCCGUAUGAUUUGAAAUACGUGCACACAAACCCAGAGAAAGUGUUCUUGGAAAUCUCGGCCGAAAAAAGGAUGUUUAAUAAUUCUAAAAGGGACUACAGGAUGAAAAACAAUAGUUUUGGCAGUUAAAGUUUGUGAUUCGAUGGUGCUGUAGAUCUGUUUGGUCAUCAGGUGUUAUGAGCCACACCCAUGUCUAGCUAGAACAGUGUGUUAGGCUCAGGCUAGAGCAGAAACGGGGAACAAACUUAUGAAAGAAUGAUCAUACCGAGGGAAUUCACUCAGAACUAACAAGAAUGAUAACGUGCUCCGACUGGAGAGGUUUAGGAACUGCUGGAAGGCUCUAGGGGAAUAAAGAUGGAAUGACUUCAAAUUUUUAGGUCUGUAUGAUCUGAAAUACUUGCACACAAACCGCGAGAAAGCGUUCCUGGAAAUCUCAGCCCAAAAAAGGACGUUUAGUGAUUCUAAAAGGGACUACGGGAUAAAAAACAAUAGUUUUGGCAGUUAAAGUUUGAGAUUCGAUAAUGCCGUAGAUCCGUUUGGUCAUCAGGUGUAACGAGCCACACCCAUGUCUAGCUAGAGUAGUGUGCUAGGCUCAUACUAGAGAAGAAAUGGGGAACAAACUGAUGAAAGAAUGAUCAUACCGAGGGAGUUCACUCAAAACUAACAUGAAUGAUAACGUGCUCCGACUGGAGCGGUUUAGGAACUGCUGGAAGGCUCUAGGGGAAUAAAGAUGGAAUGACUUCUAAUUUUUAGGUCCGUAUGAUUUGAAAUACAUGCACACAAACCCCAAGAAAGCGUUCCUGGAAAUCUCGCCCCGAAAAACGACGUUUAGUAAUUCUAAAAGGGACUAUAGGAUGAAAAACAAUAGUUUUGGCAGUUAAAGUUUGAGAUUUGACGGUGCCGUAGAUCUGUUUGGUCAUCAGGUGUUACGAGCCACACCCAUUUCUAGCUAGAAUAGUGUGUUAGGCUCAGGCUAGAAAAGAAACGGGGAACAAAGUGAUGAAAGAAUGAUCAUACCGAGGGAAUUCACUCAGAACUAACAAGAAUGAUAACAUGGUCCGACUGGAGCGGUUUAGGAACUGCUGGAAGGCUCUAGGGGAAUAAAGAUGGAAUGACUUCUAACUUUUAGGUCCGUAUGAUUUGAAUUACUUGCACACAAACCGCGCGAAAGCGUUCCUGGAAAUCUCAGCCCAAAAAAGGACGUUUAGUAAUUCUAAAAGGGACUACAGGAUGAAAAACAAUAGUUUUGGCAGUUAAAGUUUGAGAUUCGACGGUGCCGUAGAUCCGUUUGGUCAGCAGGUGUUACGAGCCACACCCAUGUCUAGCUAGAGUAGUGUGCUAGGUUCAGACUAGAGAAGAAAUGUUGGGGAACGUAGCAGAAAUUCAAAAUUUUCCUACGUGUCACCAAGAUCUAUCUAUGGAGAGACUAGCAACGAGGGAAGGAGAGUGCAUCUACAUACCCUUGUAGAUCGCUAAGCGGAAGCGUUCAAGUGAACGGGGUUGAUGGAGUCGUACUCGUCGUGAUUCAGCUCACCGAUGAUCCUAGUGCCGAACGGACGGCACCUCCGCGUUCAACACACGUACAGCUCGACGAUGUCUCCCACGCCUUGAUCCAGCAAGGAGAGAGGGAGAGGUUGAGGAAGACUCCAUCCAGCAGAAGCACAACGGCGUGGUGGUGAUGGAGGAGCAUGGCAAUCCUGCAGGGCUUCGCCAAGCACCUAUGGGAGAGGAGGAGGUGUCACGGGAGGGAGGGAGGCGCCAAGGGCUCAGGUAUAGAUGCCCUCCCUCCCCUCCACUAUAUAUAGGGGCAAGGGAGAGGGGGGAGGCGCAGCCUUGCCCCUUCCUCCAAGGAAGGGGUGCGGCUAAGAGGGGGGGAGGAGUCCAUCCUCCCCAAGGCACCUCGGAGGUGCCUUCCCCCUUUAGGACUCUCCCCUUUUUCCUAUAUCUUGGCGCAUGGGCCUCUAGGGGCUGGUUCCCUUGGCCCAUGUAGGCCCAGGCGCACCCCCUACAGCCCAUGUGGCCCCCCGGGGCAGGUGGCCCCACCUGGUGGGCCCCCGGGACCCUUCCGGUGGUCCCGGUACAAUACCGAUGACCCCGAAACUUGUCCCGAUGGCCGAAACAGGACUUCCUAUAUAUAAAUCUUUACCUCCGGACAAUUCCGGAACUCCUCGUGACGUCCGGGAUCUCAUCCGGGACUCCGAACAACAUUCGGUAACCACAUACAAACUUCCUUUAUAACCCUAGCGUCAUCGAACCUUAAGUGUGUAGACCCUACGGGUUCGGGAGACAUGUAGUCAUGACCGAGAUGUUCUCCGGUCAAUAACCAACAGCGGGAUCUGGAUACCCAUGUUGGCUCCCACAUGUUCCACGAUGAUCUCAUCGGAUGAACCACGAUGUCAAGGACUCAAUCAAUCCCGUAUACAAUUCCCUUUGUCUAGCGGUAUGGUACUUGCCCGAGAUUCGAUCGUCGGUAUACCGAUACCUUGUUCAAUCUCGUUACCGGCAAGUCUCUUUACUCAUUUCGUAACACAUCAUCCCGUGAUCAACCCCUUGGUCACAUUGUGCACAUUAUGAUGAUGUCCUACCGAGUGGGCCCAGAGAUACCUCUCCGUUUACACGGAGUGACAAAAUCCCAAUCUCGAUUCGUGCCAACCCAACAGACACUUUCAGAGAUACCCGUAGUGUACCUUUACAGCCACCCAGUUACGUUGUGACGUUUGGCACACCCAAAGCACUCCUACAGUAUCCGGGAGUUGCACAAUCUCAUGGUCUAAGGAAAUGAUACUUGACAUUAGAAAAGCUUUAGCAUACGAACUACAUGAUCUUGUGCUAGGCUUAGGAUUGGGUCUUGUCCAUCACAUCAUUCUCCUAAUGAUGUGAUCCCGUUAUCAACGACAUCCAAUGUCCAUGGUCAGGAAACCGUAACCAUCUAUUGAUUAACGAGCUAGUCAACUAGAGGCUUACUAGGGACAUGGUGUUGUCUAUGUAUCCACACAUGUAUCUAAGUUUCCUAUCAAUACAAUUCUAGCAUGGAUAAUAAACGAUUAUCAUGAACAAGGAAAUAUAAUAAUAAUCAAUUUAUUAUUGCCUCUAGGGCAUAUUUCCAACAGUCUCCCACUUGCACUAGAGUCAAUAAUCUAGUUCACAUCGAUAUGUGAUUAACACUCAAGGUCACAUUCCCAUGUGACUAACACCCAAGAGUUUACUAGAGUCAAUAAUCUAGUUCACAUUUACCAUGUGAUUAACACUUGAUGAGUUCUGGGUUUGAUCAUGUUAUGCUUGUGAGAGAGGUUAUAGUCAACGGGUCUGAACCUUUCAGAUCCGUGUGUGCUUUACAAAUCUCUAUGUCAUCUCCUAGAUGCAGCUACCACGUUCUAUUUGGAGCUAUUCCAAAUAACUGUUCUACUUGGAGCUAUUCUAAAUUGUUGCUCCAUUAUACGUAUCCGGUAUCUCUACUCAGAGCUAUCCGGAUAGGUGUUAAGCUUGCAUCGACGUAACCCUUUACGACGAACUCUUUUACCACCUCCAUAAUUGAGAAAAUUCCUUAGUCCACUAGUUACUAAGGAUAACUUUGACCGCUGUCCUGUGAUCCAUUCUUGGAUCACUCUUGUACCCCUUGACUGACUCAUGGUAAAGCACACUUCAGGUGCGGUACACAGCAUAGCAUACUGUAGAGCCUAUGUCUUAAGCAUAGGGGACGACCUUCGUUCCUUUCUCUCUAUUCUGCCAUGGUCGAGCUUUAAGUCUUAACUUCAUACCUUACAACUCAGGCAAGAACUCCUUCUUUGACUGAUCCAUCUUGAACACCUUCAAGAUCACGUCAAGGCAUGUGCUCACGUCAAGAUCACGUCGGUAUACCGAUACCUUGUUCAAUCUCGUUACCGGCAAGUCUCUUUACUCGUUCCGUAACACAUCAUCCCGUGAUCAACCCCUUGGUCACAUUGUGCACAUUAUGAUGAUGUCCUACCGAGUGGGCCCAGAGAUACCUCUCCGUUUACACGGAGUGACAAAAUCCCAAUCUCGAUUCGUGCCAACCCAACAGACACUUUCAGAGAUACCCGUAGUGUACCUUUAUAGCCACCCAGUUACGUUGUGACGUUUGGCACACCCAAAGCACUCCUACGGUAUCCGGGAGUUGCACAAUCUCAUGGUCUAAGGAAAUGAUACUUGACAUUAGAAAAGCUUUAGCAUACGAACUACAUGAUCUUGUGCUAGGCUUAGGAUUGGGUCUUGUCCAUCACAUCAUUCUCCUAAUGAUGUGAUCCCGUUAUCAACGACAUCCAAUGUCCAUGGUCAGGAAACCGUAACCAUCUAUUGAUUAACGAGCCAGUCAACUAGAGGCUUACUAGGGACAUGGUGUUGUCUAUGUAUCCACACAUGUAUCUGAGUUUCCUAUCAAUACAAUUCUAGCAUGGAUAAUAAACGAUUAUCAUGAACAAGGAAAUAUAAUAAUAAUCAAUUUAUUAUUGCCUCUAGGGCAUAUUUCCAACAGUCUCCCACUUGCACUAGAGUCAAUAAUCUAGUUCACAUCACCAUGUGAUUAACACUGACAGGUCACAUCACCAUGUGACCAACAUCCAAAGAGUCUUGGGUUUGAUCAUGUUGCUUGUGAGAGAGGUUAUAGUCAACGGGUCUGAACCUUUCAGAUCCGUGUGUGCUUUACAAAUCUCUAUGUCAUCUCCUAGAUGCAGCUACCACGUUCUAUUUGGAGCUAUUCCAAAUAACUGUUCUACUUGGAGCUAUUCUAAAUUGUUGCUCCAUUAUACGUAUCCGGUAUCUCUACUCAGAGCUAUCCGGAUAGGUGUUAAGCUUGCAUCGACGUAACCCUUUACGACGAACUCUUUUACCACCUCCAUAAUUGAGAAAAUUCCUUAGUCCACUAGUUACUAAGGAUAACUUUGACCGCUGUCCUGCGAUCCAUUCUUGGAUCACCCUUGUACCCCUUGACUGACUCAUGGUAAAGCACACUUCAGGUGCGGUACACAGCAUAGCAUACUGUAGAGCCUAUGUCUUAAGCAUAGGGGAUGACCUUCGUUCCUUUCUCUCUAUUCUGCCAUGGUCGAGCUUUAAGUCUUAACUUCAUACCUUACAACUCAGGCAAGAACUCCUUCUUUGACUGGUCCAUCUUGAACACCUUCAAGAUCAUGUCAAGGUAUGUGCUCAUUUGAAAGUACUAUUAAGCGUUUUGAUCUAUCCUUAUAGAUCUUGAUGCUCAAUGUUCAAGUAGCUUAAUCCAGGUUUUCCAUUGAAAACACUUUCCAAAUAACCCUAUAUGCUUUCCAGAAAUUCUACGUCAUUUCUGAUCAUUAAUAUGUCAACAACAUAUAAUCAUCAGAAAUUCUAUAGUGCUCCCACUCACUUCUUUGGAAAUACAAGUUUCUCAUAAACUUUGUAUACACCCAAAAUCUUUGAUCAUCAUCAAAGCAUACAUUCCAACUCCGAGAUGCUCACUCCAGUCCUCAGAAGGAUUGCUGGAGCUUUGCAUACUUAUUAGCAUAUUUCAGGAUAGACAAAACCUUCCAGUUGUAUCACAUACAACCUUUCCUCAAGAAUCGUCGACGAAACAAUGUUUUGACAUCCUAUCUGCAAGAUUUCAUAAAUAAUGCAGUAAUUGUUAAUAUAAUUCCAACAGACUCUUAGCAUCGCUACGAGUGAGAAAGUCUCAUUGUAGUCAACUCCUUGAACUUGUCAAAAAACAUCUUAACGACAAGUCGAGCUUUCUCAAUGGUGACACUUACCAUCAUUGUCUGUCUUCCUUUCAAAAUCCAUAUGUACCUAACAGCCUUACGACCAUCAAGUAGUUCUUCCAAAGUCUACACUUUGUUUUCAUACAUGGAUCCUCUCUCGGGUUUUAUGGCCAUGAGCCAUUUAUCGGAAUCCGGGCCCACCAUUGCUUCUCCAUAGCUCGUAGGUUCAUUGUUGUCUAGCAACAUGACUUCCAAGACAGGAUUACUGUACCACUCUGAAGUAGUACGUAUCCUUGUCACCCUACGAGGUUUGGGAGUGACUUGAUCUGAAGUUUCAUGAUCACUAUCAUAAGCUUCUACUUCAAUUGGUGUAGGUGCCACAGGAACAACUUCCUGUGCCCUGCUACACACUGGUUGAAGUGAUGGUUCAAUAACCUCAUCAAGUCUCCACCAUCCUCCCACUCAAUUCUUUCGAGAGAAACCUUUCCUCGAGAAAGGACCCAAUUCUAGAAACAAUUCAUAUUGCUUUCGGAUCUGAAUUAGGAAGUAUACCCAACUGUUUUGGGUGUCCUAUGAAGAUGUACUUUAUCCGCUUUGGUUUCGAGCUUAAUCCUGAAACUUUUUCACAUAAGUGUCGCAGCCCCAAACCUUUAAGAAACGACAACUUAGGUUUCUCUAAACCAUAAUUCAUACGGUGUCAUCUCAUCGGAAUUACGUGGUGCCCUAUUUAAAGUGAAUGUGGUUGUCUUUAAUGCCUAACCCAUAAACUAUCGUGGCAGUUCGAUAAGAGACAUCAUGGUAUGCAUCAUAUCCAAUAGGGUGCAACUAUGAUGUUCGGACACACCAUCACACUAUGGUGUUCCAGGCGGUAUUAAUUGUGAAACAAUUUCCACAAUGUCUUAAUUGUGUGCCAAAACUCGUAACUCAGAUACUCAUCUCUAUGAUCAUAUCAUAGACAUUUUAUCCUCUUGUCACAAUGAUCUUCUACUUCACUCUGAAAUUACUUGAACCAUUCAACAAUUCAGACUUGUGUUUCAUCAAGUAAAUAUUCUCAACAUCUACUCGAAUCAUCUGUGAAGUAAGAACAUAACGAUAUUCACUGCAUGCCUCAGCACUCAUUGGACUGCACACAUCAAAAUGUGUUACUUCCAACAAGUUGCUAUCUUGUUCCAUCUUACUGAAAACGAGGCUUUUCAGUCAUCUUGCCCAUGUGGUAUGAUUUGCAUGUCCCAAGUGAUUCAAAAAUCAAGUGAGUCAAAACGGUCCAUUUGCAUGGAGUUUCUUCAUGCAUAUACACCAAUAGACAUGGUUCGCAUGUCUCAAACUUUUCAAAAACGAGUGAGCCCAAAGAUCCAUCAAUAUGGAGCUUCUUCAUGCGUUUUAUACCGAUAUGACUUACGUGGUAGUGCCACAAGUAGGUGGUACUAUCAUUACUAUCUUUUGGCAUGAACAUGUGUAUCACUACGAUCGAGAUUUAAUAAACCAUUCAUUUUAGGUGUAAGACCAUUGAAGGUAUUAUUCAAAUAAACAGAGUAACCAUUAUUCUCCUUAAAUGAAUAACCGUAUUGCGAUAGACGUAAUCCAAUCAUGUCUAUGCUCAACGCAAACACCAAAUAACAAUUAUUUAGGUUUAACACCAAUCUCUUUGGUAGAGGGAGCGUGCGAUGCUUGAUCAUAUCAAGCAUGGAAAAACUUACAACACAUAUCGUCAGCUCACCUUUAGCUAGUCUCUGUUUAUUCCGUAGCCUUUUGUUUCGAGUUACUAACACUUAGCAACCGAACUGGUAUCUAAUACCCUGGUGCUACUAGGAGUACUAGCAAAGUACACAUUAACACAAUGUAUAUCCAAUAUACUUCUAUCGACCUUGCCAGCCUUCUUAUCUACCAAGUAUCUAGGGUAAUUCUGCUCUAGUAGUUGUUCCCCUUAUUACAGAAGCACUUAGUCUCGGGUUUGGGUUUUACCUUGGGUUUCUUCACUAGAGCAGCAGCUGAUUUGCCGUUUCAUGAAGUAUCCCUUCUUGCCCUUGCCCUUCUUGAAACUAGUGGUUCCACCAACCAUCAACAAUUGAUGCUCCUUCUUGAUUUCUACUUUCGCGGUGUCAAACAUCGCGAAUACCUCAAGGAUCAUCAUAUCUAUCCCUGAUAUGUUAUAGUUCAUCAUGAAGCUCUAACAGCUUGGUGGCAAUGACUUUGGAGAACCAUCACUAUCUCAUCUGGAAGAUCAACUCCCACUCGAUUCAAGCGAUUGUUGUACUCAGACAAUCUGAGCACAAGCUCAACGAUUGAGCUUUUCUCCCUUAGUUUGCAGGUUAAGAAAGUCAUCGGAGGUCUUAUACCUCUUGACAUGGGCACGAGCCUGAAAUCCCAAUUUCAGCCCUCAAAACAUCUCAUAUGUUUCGCGAUGUUUCAAAAACGUCUUUGGUGCCUCAACUCUAAACCGUUUAACUGAACUAUCACGUAGUUAUCAAAACGUGUAUGUCAGAUGUUCGCAACAACCACAGACAACGUUCGAGGUUCAGCACACUGAGCGGUGCAUUAAGGACAUAAGCCUUCUAUGAAGCAAUGAGGACAAUCCUCAGUUUACGGACCUAGUCCGCAUAAUUGCUACUAUCAACUUUCAACUAAUUUUUCUCUAGGAACAUAUCUAAACAGUAGAACUAUAGCGUGAGCUACGACAUAAUUUGCAAAAACCUUUUGACUAUGUUCAGGAUAAUUAAGUUCAUCUUAUGAACUCCCACUCAGAUAGACAUCCCUCUAGUCAUCUAAGUGAUUACAUGAUCCGAGUCAAACUAGGCCGUGUCCGAUCAUCACGUGAGACGGACUAGUCAUCAUCGGUGAACAUCUUCAUGUUGAUCGUAUCUUCUAUACGACUCAUGUUCGACCUUUCGGUCUUCGUGUUCCGAGGCCAUGUAUGUACAUGCUAGGCUCGUCAAGUUAACCCUAAGUGUUUCGCGUGUGUAAAUCUGUCUUACACCCGUUGUAUGUGAACGUUAGAAUCUAACACCCGAUCAUCACGUGGUGCUUCGAAACACGAACUGUCGCAACGGUGCACAGUUAGGGGAGAACACUUCUUGAAAUUGUUGUAAGGGAUCAUCUUAUUUACUACCGUCGUUCUAAGCAAAUAAGAUGUAUAAACAUGAUAAACAUCACAUGCAAUCAAAUAGUGACAUGAUAUGGCCAUCAUCACUUUGCUCCUUUUGAUCUCCAUCUUCGGGGCUCCAUGAUCAUCAUCGUCACCGGCAUGACACCAUGAUCUCCAUCAUCAUGAUCUCCAUCAUCGUGUCUUCAUGAAGUUGCCUCGCCAACUAUUACUUCUACUACUAUGGCUAACGGUUAGCAAUAAAGUAAAGUAAUUACAUGACGUUUAAGUUGACACGCAGGUCACAAAUGAAUAAAGACAACUCCUAUGGCUCCUGCCGGUUGUCAUACUCAUCGACAUGCAAGUCGUGAUUCCUAUUACAAGAACAUGAUCAAUCUCAUACAUCACAUAUAUCAUUCAUCACAUCCUUUUUGGCCAUAUCACAUCACAUAGCAUACCCUGCAAAAACAAGUUAGACGUCCUCUAAUUGUUGUUUGCAUGUUUUACGUGGCUGCUAUGGGUUUCUAGCAAGAACGUUUCUUACCUACGCAUGAACAACAACGUGAUAUGCCAAUUGCUAUUUACCCUUCAUAAGGACCCUUUUCAUCGAAUCCGAUCCGACUAAAGUGGGAGAGACAGACACCCGCCAGCCACCUUAUGCAACUAGUGCAUGUUUGUCGGUGGAACCGGUCUCACGUAAGCGUACGUGUAAGGUUGGUCCGGGCCGCUUCAUCCCACGAUGCCGCCGAAUCAAGAUAAGACUAGUAACGGCAAGCAUAUUGAACAAUAUCAACGCCCACAACUACUUUGUGUUCUACUCGUGCAAAGAAUCUACGCAAUAGACCUAGCUCAUGAUGCCACUGUUGGGGAACGUAGCAGAAAUUCAAAAUUUUCCUACGUGUCACCAAGAUCUAUCUAUGGAGAUACUAGCAACGAGGGAAGGAGAGUGCAUCUACAUACCCUUGUAGAUCGCUAAGCGGAAGCGUUCAAGUGAACGGGGUUGAUGGAGUCGUACUCGUCGUGAUUCAGAUCACCGAUGAUCCUAGUGCCGAACGGACGGCACCUCCGCGUUCAACACACGUACAGCUCGACGAUGUCUCCCACGCCUUGAUCCAGCAAGGAGAGAGGGAGAGGUUGAGGAAGACUCCAUCCAGCAGCAGCACAACGGCGUGGUGGUGAUGGAGGAGCGUGGCAAUCCUGCAGGGCUUCGCCAAGCACCUACGGGAGAGGAGGAGGUGUCACGGGAGGGAGGGAGGCGCCAAGGGCUCAGGUAUAGAUGCCCUCCCUCCCCUCCACUAUAUAUAGGGGCAAGGGAGAGGGGGAGGCGCAUCCUUGCCCCUUCCUCCAAGGAAGGGGUGCGGCUAAGAGGGGGGGAGGAGUCCAUCCUCCCCAAGGCACCUCGGAGGUGCCUUCCCCCUUUAGGACUCUCCCCUUUUUCCUAUAUCUUGGCGCAUGGGCCUCUAGGGGCUGGUGCCCUUGGCCCAUGUAGGCCAAGGCGCACCCCCCUACAGCCCAUGUGGCCCCCCGGGGCAGGUGGCCCCACCCGGUGGGCCCCCGGGACCCUUCCGGUGGUCCCGGUACAAUACCGAUGACCCCGAAACUUGUCCCGAUGGCCGAAACAGGACUUCCUAUAUAUAAAUCUUUACCUCCGGACCAUUCCGGAACUCCUCGUGACGUCCGGGAUCUCAUCCGGGACUCCGAACAACAUUCGGUAACCACAUACAAACUUCCUUUAUAACCCUAGCGUCAUCGAACCUUAAGUGUGUAGACCCUACGGGUUCGGGAGACAUGUAGUCAUGACCGAGAUGUUCUCCGGUCAAUAACCAACAGCGGGAUCUGGAUACCCAUGUUGGCUCGCACAUGUUCCACGAUGAUCUCAUCGGAUGAACCACGAUGUCAAGGACUCAAUCAAUCCCGUAUACAAUUCCCUUUGUCUAGCGGUAUGGUACUUGCCCGAGAUUCGAUCGUCGGUAUACCGAUACCUUGUUCAAUCUCGUUACCGGCAAGCCUCUUUACUCGUUCCGUAACACAUCAUCCCGUGAUCAACCCCUUGGUCACAUUGUGCACAUUAUGAUGAUGUCCUACCGAGUGGGCCCAGAGAUACCUCUCCGUUUACACGGAGUGACAAAAUCCCAAUCUCGAUUCGUGCCAACCCAACAGACACUUUCAGAGAUACCCGUAGUGUACCUUUAUAGCCACCCAGUUACGUUGUGACGUUUGGCACACCCAAAGCACUCCUACGGUAUCCGGGAGUUGCACAAUCUCAUGGUCUAAGGAAAUGAUACUUGACAUUAGAAAAGCUUUAGCAUACGAACUACAUGAUCUUGUGCUAGGCUUAGNNNNNNNNNNUGAUCAACCCCUUGGUCACAUUGUGCACAUUAUGAUGAUGUCCUACCGAGUGGGCCCAGAGAUACCUCUCCGUUUACACGGAGUGACAAAAUCCCAAUCUCGAUUCGUGCCAACCCAACAGACAUUUUCAGAGAUACCCGUAGUGUACCUUUAUAGCCACCCAGUUACGUUGUGACGUUUGGCACACCCAAAGCACUCCUACGGUAUCCGGGAGUUGCACAAUCUCAUGGUCUAAGGAAAUGAUACUUGACAUUAGAAAAGCUUUAGCAUACGAACUACAUGAUCUUGUGCUAGGCUUAGGAUUGGGUCUUGUCCAUCACAUCAUUCUCCUAAUGAUGUGAUCCCGUUAUCAACGACAUCCAAUGUCCAUGGUCAGGAAACCGUAACCAUCUAUUGAUUAACGAGCUAGUCAACUAGAGGCUUACUAGGGACAUGGUGUUGUCUAUGUAUCCACACAUGUAUCUGAGUUUCCUAUCAAUACAAUUCUAGCAUGGAUAAUAAACGAUUAUCAUGAACAAGGAAAUAUAAUAAUAAUCAAUUUAUUAUUGCCUCUAGGGCAUAUUUCCAACAAGAAACGGGGAACAAACUGAUGAAAGAAUGAUCAUACCGAGGGAAUUCACUCAGAACUAACAAGAAUGAUAACGUGCUUUGACUGGAGCGGUUUAAAAACUGCUGGAAGGCUCUAGGGGAAUAAAGAUGGAAUGCCUUCAAAUUUCUAGGUCCGUAUGAUUUGAAAUACUUGCACACAAACCGCGCGAAAGCGUUCCUGGAAAUCUCAGCCCAAAAAAGGACGUUUAGUAAUUCUAAAAGGGACUACAGAAUGAAAAACAAUAGUUUUGGCAGUUAAAGUUUGAGAUUCGAUGGUGCCGUAGAUCCGUUUGGUCAUCAGGUGUAACGAGCCACACCCAUGUCUAGCUAGAGUAGUGUGCUAGGCUCAGGCUAGAGAAGAAACGGGGAACAAACUGAUGAAAGAAUGAUCAUACCGAGGGAAUUCACUCAGAACUAACAAGAAUGAUAACGUGCUCCGACUGGAGCGGUUUAGGAACUGCUGGAAGGCUCUAGGGGAAGAAAGAAGGAAUGACUUCUAAUUUUUAGGUCCGUAUGAUUUGAAAUACGUGCACACAAACCGCGCGAAAGCGUUCCUGGAAAUCUCAGCCCAAAAAAGGACGUUUAGUAUUCUAAAAGGGACUACAGAAUGAAAAACAAUAGUUUUGGCAGUUAAAGUUUGAGAUUCGACGGUGCCGUAGAUCCGUUUGGUCAUCAGGUGUUACGAGCCACACCCAUGUCUAGCUAGAAUAGUGUGCNNNNNNNNNNNNNNNNNNNNNNNNNCGUAUGAUUUGAAAUACGUGCACACAAACCGCGCGAAAGCGUUCCUGGAAAUCUCAGCCCAAAAAAGGACGUUUAGUAUUCUAAAAGGGACUACAGAAUGAAAAACAAUAGUUUUGGCAGUUAAAGUUUGAGAUUCGACGGUGCUGUAGAUCCGUUUGGUCAUCAGGUGUUACGAGCCACACCCAUGUCUAGCUAGAAUAGUGUGCUAGGCUCAGGCUAGAGAAGAAAAGGGGAACAAACUAAUGAAAGAAUGAUCAAUACGAGGGAAUUCACUCAGAACUAACAAUAAUGAUAACGUGCUCCGACUGGAGCGGUUUAGGAACUGCUGGAAGGCUCUAGGCGAAUAAAGAUGGAAUGACUUCUAAUUUUUACGUCCGUAUGAUUUGAAAUACUUGCACACAAACCACGCAAAAGCGUUCCUGGAAAUCUCGGCCUAAAAAGGACGUUUAGUAAUUCUAAAAGGGACUACAGGAUGAAAAAUAAUAGUUUGGGCAGUUAAAAUUUGAGAUUCGACGGUGCCGUAGAUCCGUUUGGUCAUCAGGUGUUACGAGCCACACCCAUGUCUAGCUAGAAUAGUGUGUUAGGCUCAGGCUAGAGAAGAAACGAGGAACAAACUGAUGAAAGAAUGAUCAUACCAAGGGAAUUCACUCAGAACUAACAAGAAUGAUAACGUGCUCCGACUGGAGCAGUUUAGAAACUGCUGGAAGGCUCUAGGGGAAUAAAGAUGGAAUGACUUCUGAUUUUUAGGUCCGUAUGAUUUGAAAUACGUGCACACAAACCCCGCGAAAGCGUUCCUGGAAAUCUCAGCCCAAAAAAGGACGUUUAGUAAUUCUAAAAGGGACUACAACAUGAAAAACAAUAGUUUUGGCAGUUAAAGUUUGAGAUUUCAUGGUGCCGUAGAUCUGUUUGGUCAUCAGGUGUUACGAGCCACACCCAUGUCUAGCUAGAAUAGUGUGUUAGGCUCAGGCUAGAAAAGAAACGGGAAACAAAGUGAUGAAAGAAUGACCAUACCGAGGGAAUUCACUCAGAACUAACAAGAAUGAUAACAUGCUCCGACUUGAGCGGUUUAGGAACUGCUGGAAGGCUCUAGGGGAAUAAAGAUGGAAUGACUUCUAAUGUUUAGGUCCGUAUGAUUUGAAAUACUUGCACAUAAACCGCACAAAAGCGUUCCUGGAAAUCUCAGCCCAAAAAAGGACGUUUAGUAAUUCUAAAAGGGACUACAGGAUGAAAAACAAUAGUUUUGGCAGUUAAAGUUUGAGAUUCGACGGUGCCGUAGAUCCGUUUGGUCAUCAGGUGUUACGAGCCACACCCAUGUCUAGCUAGAAUAGUGUGUUAGGCUCAGGCUAGAGAAGAAACUUGGAACAAACUGAUGAAAGAAUGAUCAAACCAACGGAAUUCACUCAGAACUAACAAUAAUGAUAACGUGCUCCGACUGGAGCAGUUUAGGAACUGCUGGAAGGCUCUAGGGGAAUAAAGAUGGAAUGACUUCUAAUUUUUAGGUCCGUAUGAUUUGAAAUACUUGCACGCAAACCGCGCGAAAGCGUUCCUGGAAAUAUCAGCCCAAAAAAGGACGUUUAGUAAUUCUAAAAGGGACUACAGGAUGAAAACAAUAGUUUUGGCAGUUAAAGUUUGAGAUUCAACAGUGCCGUAGAUCCGUUUGGUCAUCAGGUGUUAUGAGCCAUACCCAUGUCUAGCUAGAGUAGUGUGCUAGGCUCAGGCUAGAGAAGAAACAGGGAACAAACUGAUGAAAGAAUGAUCAUACCGAGGGAAUUCACUCAGAACUAACAAGAAUGAUAACGUGCUCCGACUGGAGCGGUUUAGGAACUGCUGGAAGGCUCUAGGGGAAUAAAGAUGGAGUGACUUCUAAAUUUUUAGGUCCGUAUGAUUUAAAAUACUUGCACACAAACCGCACGAAAGCGUUCCUUGAAAUCUCAGCCCAAAAAAGGACGUUUAGUAAGUCUAAAAGGGACUAUAGGAUGAAAAACAAUAGUUUUGGCAGUUAAAGUUUGAGAUUCGAUGGUGCCGUAGAUCUGUUUGGUCAUCAGGUGUUACGAGCCACACCCAUGUCUAGUUGGAAUAGUGUGCUAGGCUCAGACUAGAGAAGAAACAGGGAACAAACUGAUGAAAGAAUGAUCAAACCGAGGAAAUUCACUCAGAACUAACAAUAAUGAUAACAUGCUCCGACUGGAGCGGUUUAGGAACUGCUGGAAGGCUCUAGGGGAAUAAAGAUGGAAUGACUUCUAAAUUUUUAGGUCCGUAUGAUUUGAAAUAGUUGCACACAAACUGCGCGAAAGCGUUCCUGGAAAUCUCAGCCCAAAAAAGGACGUUUAGUAAUUCUAAAAGGGACUAUAGGAUGAAAAACAAUAGUUUUGGCAGUUAAAGUUUGAGAUUCGACGGUGCCGUAGAUCCGUUUGGUCAUCACGUGUUACAAGCCACACCCAUGUCUAGCUAGAGUAGUGUGCUAGGCUCAGACUAUAGAAGAAACGGGGACCAAACUGAUGAAAGAAUGAUCAAACCGAGGAAAUUCACUCAGAACUAACAAUAAUGAUAACAUGCUCCGACUGGAGCGGUUUAGGAACUACUGGAAGGCUCUAGGGGAAUAAAGAUGGAAUGACUUCUAAAUUUUUAGGUCCGUAUGAUUUUAAAUAGUUGCACACAAACUGCGCGAAAGCGUUCCUGGAAAUCUCAGCCCAAAAAAGGACGUUUAGUAAUUCUAAAAGGGACUACAGGAUGAAAAACAAUAGUUUGGGCAGUUAAAAUUUGAGAUUCGACGGUGCCGUAGAUCCGUUUGGUCAUCAGGUGUUACGAGCCACACCCAUGUCUAGCUAGAGUAGUGUGCUAGGCUCAGGCUAGAGAAGAAACAGGGAACAAACUGAUGAAAGAAUGAUCAUACCGAGGGAAUUCACUCAGAACUAACAAGAAUGAUAACGUGCUCUGACUGGAGCGGUUUAAGAACUGUUGGAAGGCUCUAGGGGAAUAAAGAUGGAAUCACUUCAAAUUUUUACGUCCGUGUGAUUUGAAAUACUUGCACACAAACCGCACGAAAGCGUUCCUGGAAAUCUCAGCCCAAAAAAGGACGUUUAGUAAGUCUAAAAGGGACUACACGAUGAAAAACAAUAGUUUUGGCAGUUAAAGUUUGAGAUUCGACAGUGCCGUAGAUCCGUUUGGUCAUCAGGUGUAACGAGCCACACCCAUGUCUAGAUAGAGUAGUGUGCUAGGCUCAAACUAGAGAAGAAACGGGGAACAAACUGAUGAAAGAAUGAUCAUACCGAGGGAAUUCACUCAGAAAUAACAAGAAUGAUAACGUGCUCUGACUGGAGCGGUUUAGGAACUGCUGGAAGGCUCUAGGGGAAUAAAGAAGGAAUGACUUCUAAUUUUUAGGUCCGUAUGAUUUGAAAUACGUGCACACAAACCCCGAGAAAGCGUUCCUGGAAAUCUCGACCCAAAAAAGGACGUUUAGUAAUUCUAAAAGGGACUACGGGAUGAAAAACAAUAGUUUUGGCAGUUAAAGUUUGAGAUUCGAUAAUGCCGUAGAUCCAUUUGGUCAUCAGGUGUAACGAGCCACACCCAUGUCUAGCUAGAGUAGUGUGCUAGGCUCAGACUAGAGAAGAAACAGGGAACAAACUGAUGAAAGAAUGAUCAUAUCGAGGGAAUUCACUCAGAACUAACAAGAAUGAUAACAUGCUCCGACUUGAGCGGUUUAGGAACUGCUGGAAGGCUCUAGGGGAAUAAAGAUGGAAUGACUUCUAAUUUUUAGGUCCGUAUGAUUUGAAAUACUUACACACAAACCACGCGAAAGCGUUCCUGGAAAUCUCAGCCCAAAAAAGGACGUUUAGUAAUUCUAAAAGGGACUACAUGAUGAAAAACAAUAGUUUUCGCAGUUAAAGUUUGAGAUUCGACGGUGCCGUAGAUCCGUUUGGUCAUCAAGUGUUACGAGCCACACCCAUGUCUAGCUAGAAUAGUGUGUUAGGCUCAGCCUAGAGAAGAAACGGGGAACAAACUGAUGAAAGAAUGAUCAUACCGAGGGAAUUCACUCAGAACUUACAAGAAUGAUAACGUGCUCCGACUUGAGCGGUUUAAGAACUGUUGGAAGGCUCUAGGGGAAUAAAGAUGGAAUCACUUCAAAUUUUUACGUCCGUGUGAUUUGAAAUACUUGCACACAAACCCCGAGAAAGCGUUCCUGGAAAUCUCGGCCGAAAAAAGGAUGUUUAAUAAUUCUAAAAGGGACUACAGGAUGAAAAACAAUAGCUUUGGCAGUUAAAGUUUGUGAUUCGAUGGUGCCGUAGAUCUGUUUGGUCAUCAGGUGUUAUGAGCCACACCCAUGUCUAGCUAGAAUAGUGUGUUAGGCUCAGGCUAGAGCAGAAACUAGGAACAAACUUAUGAAAGAAUGAUCAUACCGAGGGAAUUCACUCAGAACUAACAAGAAUGAUAACGUGCUCCGACUGGAGCGGUUUAGGAACUGCUGGAAGGCUCUAGGGGAAUAAAGAUGGAAUGACUUCUAAUUUUUAGGUCCGUAUGAUUUGAAAUACAUGCACACAAACCCCAAGAAAGCGUUCCUAGAAAUCUCAGCCCAAAAAGGACGUUUAGUAAUUCUAAAAGGGACUACAGGAUGAAAAACAAUAGGUUUGGCAGUUAAAGUUUGAGAUUCGAUAAUGCCGUAGAUCCGUUUGGUCAUCAGGUGUAACGAGCCACACCCAUGUCUAGCUACAUUAGUGUGCUAGGCUCAGACUAGAGAAGAAACGGGGAACAAACUGAUGAAAGAAUGAUCAUACCGAGGGAAUUCACUCAGAACUAACAAGAACGAUAACAUGCUCCGACUGCAGCGGUUUAGGAACUGCUGGAAGGCUCUAGGGGAAUAAAGAAGGAAUGACUUCUAAUUUUUAGGUCCGUAUGAUUUGAAAUACUUGCACACAAACCGCGCGAAAGCAUUCCUGGAAAUCUCAGCCCAAAAAAGGACGUUUAGUAAUUCUAAAAGGGACUACAGGAUGAAAAACAAUAAUUUUGGCAGUUAAAGUUUGAGAUUCGACGGUGCCGUAGAUCCGUUUGGUCAUCAGGUGUUACGGGCCAUACCCAUGUCUAGCUAGAAUAGUGUGUUAGGCUCAGGUUAGAGAAGAAACGGGGAACAAAGUGAUGAAAGAAUGAUCAUACCGAGGGAAUUCACUCAGAACUAACAAGAAUGAUAACGUGCUCCGACUGGAGCGGUUUAGGAAUUGCUGGAAGGCUCUAGGGGAAUAAAGAUGGAAUGACUUCUAUAUUUUACGUCCGUAUGAUUUGAAAUACUUGCACACAAACCACGCAAAAGCACUCCUGGAAAUAUCAGCCUAAAAAGGAUGUUUAGUAAUUCUAAAAGGGACUACAGGAUGAAAAAUAAUAGUUUUGGCAGUUAAAAUUUGAGAUUCAACGGUGCCGUAAAUCCGUUUGGUCAUCAGGUGUUACGAGCCACACCCAUGUCUAGCUAGAAUAGUGUGUUAGGCUCAGGUUAGAGAAGAAACGGGGAACAAACUGAUGAAAGAAUGAUCAUACAAGGGGAAUUCACUCAGAACUAUCAAGAAUGAUAACGUGCUCCGACUGGAGCAGUUUAGGAACUGCCGGAAGGCUCUAGGGGAAUAAAGAUGGAAUGACUUCUAAUUUUUAUGUCCGUAUGAUUUGAAAUACUUGCACACAAACCACGCAAAAGCGUUCCUGGAAAUCUCAGCCUAAAAAGGACGUUUAGUAAUUCUAAAAGGGACUACAGGAUGAAAAACAAUAGUUUGGGCAGUUAAAAUUCGAGAUUCGACGGUGCCGUAGAUCCGUUUGGUCAUCAGGUGUUACGAGCCACACCCAUGUCUAGCUAGAAUAGUGUGUUAGGCUCAGGCUAGAGAAGAAACGGGGAACAAACUGAUGAAAGAAUGAUCAUAUCGAGGGAAUUCACUCAGAACUAACAAGAAUGAUAACGUGCUCCGACUGGAGCGGUUUAGUAACUGCUGGAAGGCUCUAGGGGAAUAAAGAUGGAAUGACUUCUAAUUAUUAGGUCCGUAAGAUUUGAAUUACAUGCACACAAACCCCGAGAAAGCGUUCCUGGAAAUCUCGGUCGAAAAAAGGAUGUUUAGUAAUUCUAAAAGGGACUACAGGAUGAAAAACAAUAGUUUUGGCAGUUAAAGUUUGUGAUUCGAUGGUGCCGUAGAUCUGUUUGGUCAUCAGGUGUUACGAGCCACACCCAUGUCUAGCUAGAAUAGUGUGUUAGGCUCAGGCUAGAGCAGAAACGGGGAACAAACUUAUGAAAGAAUGAUCAUGCCGAGGGAAUUCACUCAGAACUAACAAGAAUGAUAACGUGCUCCGACUGGAGCGGUUUAGGAACUGCUGGAAGGCUCUAGGGGAAUAAAGAUGGAAUGACAUCAAAUUUUUAGGUCCGUAUGAUUUGAAAUACUUGCACACAAACCGCAAGAAAGCGUUCUUGGAAAUCUCCGCCCAAAAAAGGACGUUUAGUAAUUCUAAAAGGGUCUACAGGAUGAAAAACAAUAGUUCUGGCAGUUAAAGUUUGAGAUUCGAUAAUGUCGUAGAUCCGUUUGGUCAUCAGGCGUAACGAGCCACACCCAUUUCUAGCUAGAGUAGUGUGCUAGGCUCAGACUAGAGAAGAAACGGGGAACAACCUGAUGAAAGAAUGAUCAUACCGAGGGAAUUCACUCAGAACUAACAAGAAUGAUAACGUGCUCCGACUGGAGCGGUUUAGGAACUGCUGGAAGGCUCUACGGGAAUAAAGAAGGAAUGACUUCUAAUUUUUAGGUCCGUAUGAUUUGAAAUACGUGCACACAAACCCCGAGAAAGCGUUCCUGGAAAUCUCGGCCCAAAAAAGGACGUUUAGUAUUCUAAAAGCGACUACAGAAUGAAAAACAAUAGUUUUGGUAGUUAAAGUUUGAGAUUUAACGGUGCCGUAGAUCUGUUUGGUCAUCAGGUGUUACGAGCCACACCCAUGUCUAGCUAGAAUAGUGUGUUAGGCUCAGGCUAGAUAAGAAACAGGGAACAAAGUGAUGAAAGAAUGAUCAUACCAAGGGAAUUCACUCAGAACUAACAAGAACGAUAACAUGCUCCGACUGGAGUGGUUUAGGAACUGCUGGAAGGCUCUAGGGGAAUAAAGAUGGAAUGACUUCUAAUUUUUAGGUCUGUAUGAUUUGAAAUACUUGCACACAAACCGCACGAAAGCGUUCCUGGAAAUCUCAUCCCAAAAAAGGACGUUUAGUAAUUCUAAAAGGGACUACAGGAUGAAAAACAAUAGUUUUGGCAGUUAAAGUUUGAGAUUCGAUAAUGCUGUAGAUCCGUUUGGUCAUCAGGUGUAACGAGCCACACCCAUGUCUAGCUAGAGUAGUGUGCUAGGCUCAGACUAGAGAAGAAACGGGGAACAAACUGAUGAAAGAAUGAUCAUACCGAGGGAAUUCACUCAGAACUAACAAUAAUGAUAACGUGCUCCGACUGGAGCGGUUUAGGAACUGCUGGAAGGCUCUAGGGGAAUAAAGAUGGAAUGAGUUCUAAUUUUUAGGUCUGUAUGAUUUGAAAUACUUGCACACAAACCGCGUGAAAGCAUUCCUGGAAAUUUCAGCCCAAAAAAGGACGUUUAGUAAUUUUAAAAGGGACUACACGAUGAAAAACAAUAGUUUUGGCAGUUAAAGUUUGAGAUUCGACGGUGCCGUAGAUCCGUUUGGUCAUCAGGUGUUACGAGCCACACCCAUGUCUAGCUAGAAUAGUAUGUUAGGCUCGGGUAAGAGAAGAAACGGGGAACAAACUGAUGAAAGAAUGAUCAUACCAAGGGAAUUCACUCAGAACUAACAAGAAUGAUAACGUGCUCCGACUGGAGCGGUUUAGGAACUGCUGGAAGGCUCUAGGGGAAUAAAGAUGGAAUGACUUCUAAUUUUUACGUUCGUAUGAUUUGAAAUACUUGCACACAAACCACGCAAAAGCGUUCCUGGAAAUCUCAUCCUAAAAAAGGACGUUUAGUAAUUCUAAAAGGGACUACAGGAUGAAAAAUAAUAGUUUGGGCAGUUAAAAUUUGAGAUUCGACGGUGCCGUAGAUCCGUUUGGUCAUCAGGUGUUACGAGCCACACCCAUGUCUAGCUAGAAUAGUGUGUUAGGCUCAGGCUAGAGAAGAAACGGGGAACAAACUGAUGAAAGAAUGAUCAUAUCGAGGGAAUUCACUCAGAACUAACAAGAAUGAUAACGUGCUCCGACUGGAGCAGUUUAGAAACUGCUGGAAGGCUCUAGGGGAAUAAAGAUGGAAUGACUUCUAAUUUUUAGGUCUGUAUGAUUUGAAAUACGUGCACACGAACCCCGAGAAAGCGUUCCUGGAAAUCUCGGCCCAAAAAAGGACGUUUAGUAAUUCUAAAAGGGACUACAGGAUGAAAAACAAUAGUUUUGGCAGUUAAAGUUUGAGAUUCGACGGUGCCGUAGAUCCGUUUGUUCAUCAGGUGUUACGAGCCACACCCAUGUCUAGCUAGAAUAGUGUGUUAGGCUCAGGCUAGAGAAGAAACGGGGAACAAACUGAUGAAAGAAUGAUCAUACCGAGGGAAUUCACUCAGAACUAACAAGAAUGAUAACGUGCUCCGACUGGAGCGGUUUAGGAACUGCUAGAAGGCUCUAGGGGAAUAAAGAAGGAAUGACUUCUAAUUUUUAGGUCCGUAUGAUUUGAAAUACGUGCACACAAACCCCGAGAAAGCGUUCCUGGAAAUCUUGGCCCAAAAAAGGACGUUUAGUAUUCUAAAAGCGACUACAGAAUGAAAAACAAUAGUUUUGCUAGUUAAAGUUUGAGAUUUGAUGGUGCCGUAGAUCUGUUUGGUCAUCAGGUUUUACGAGCCACACCCAUGUCUAGCUAGAAUAGUGUGUUAGGCUCAGGCUAGAAAAGAAACAGGGAAUAAAGUGAUGAAAGAAUGAUCAUACCAAGGGAAUUCACUCAGAACUAACAAGAACGAUAACAUGCUCCGACUGGAGUGGUUUAGAACUGCUGGAAGGCUAAAGGGGAAUAAAGAUGGAAUGACUUCUAAUUUUUAGGUCCGUAUGAUUUGAAAUACUUGCACACAAACCGCACGAAAGUGUUCCUGGAAAUCUCAGCCCAAAAAAGGACGUUUAGUAAUUCUAAAAGGGACUACAGGAUGAAAAACAAUAGUUUUGGCAGUUAAAGUUUGAGAUUCGAUAAUGACGUAGAUCCGUUUGGUCAUCAGGUGUAACGAGCCACACCCAUGUCUAGCUAGAGUAGUGUGCUAGGCUCAGACUAGAGAAGAAACGGGGAACAAACUGAUGAAAGAAUGAUCAUACCGAGGGAAUUCACUCAGAACUAACAAUAAUGAUAACGUGCUCCGACUAGAGCGGUUUAGGAACUGCUGGAAGGCUCUAGGGGAAUAAAGAUGGAAUGACUUCUAAUUUUUAGGUCCCUAUGAUUUGAAAUACUUGCACACAAACCGCGUGAAAGCAUUCCUGGAAAUUUCAGCCCAAAAAAGGACGUUUAGUAAUUUUAAAAGGGACUACACGAUGAAAAAGAAUAGUUUUGGCAGUUAAAGUUUGAGAUUCGACGGUGCCGUAGAUCCGUUUGGUCAUCAGGUGUUACGAGACACACCCAUGUCUAGCUAGAAUAGUAUGUUAGGCUCGGGUUAGAGAAGAAACGGGGAACAAACUGAUGAAAGAAUGAUCAUACCAAGGGAAUUCACUCAGAACUAACAAGAAUGAUAACGUGCUCCGACUGGAGCGGUUUAGGAACUGCUGGAAGGCUCUAGGGGAAUAAAGAUGGAAUGACUUCUAAUUUUUACGUUCGUAUGAUUUGAAAUACUUGCAAACAAACCACGCAAAAGCGUUCCUGGAAAUUUCAUCCUAAAAAAGGACGUUUAGUAAUUCUAAAAGGGACUACAGGAUGAAAAAUAAUAGUUUGGGCAGUUAAAAUUUGAGAUUCGAUGGUGCCGUAGAUCCGUUUGGUCAUCAGGUGUUACGAGCCACACCCAUGUCUAGCUAGAAUAGUGUGUUAGGCUCAGGCUAGAGAAGAAACGGGGAACAAACUGAUGAAAGAAUGAUCAUAUCGAGGGAAUUCACUCAGAACUAACAAGAAUGAUAACGUGCUCCGACUGGAGCAGUUUAGAAACUGCUGGAAGGCUCUAGGGGAAUAAAGAUGGAAUGACUUCUAAUUUUUAGGUCUGUAUGAUUUGAAAUACGUGCACACAAACCCCGAGAAAGCGUUCCUGGAAAUCUCGUCCGGAAAAAGGAUGUUUAAUAAUUCUAAAAGGGACUACAGGAUGAAAAACAAUAGUUUUGGCAGUUAAAGUUUGUGAUUCGAUGGUGCCGUAGAUCUGUUUGGUCAUCAGGUGUUACGGGCCACACCCAUGUCUAGCUAGAAUAGUGUGUUAGGCUCAGGCUAGAGCAGAAACGGGGAGCAAACUUAUGAAAGAAUGAUCAUAGCGAGGGAAUUUACUCAGAACUAACAAGAAUGAUAACGUGCUCCGACUGGAGCGGUUUAGGAACUGCUGGAAGGCUCUAGGGGAAUAAAGAUGGAAUGACUUCAAAUUUUCAGGUAUGUAUGAUCUGAAAUACUUGCACACAAACCGCGAGAAAGCGUUCCUGGAAAUCUCAACCCAAAAAAGGAUGUUUAGUAAUUCUAAAAGGGACUACAGGAUUAAAAACAAUAGUUUUGGCAGUUAAAGUUUGAGAUUCGAUAAUGUCGUAGAUCCGUUUGGUCAUCAGGUGUAACGAGCCACACCCAUGUCUAGCUAGAGUAGUGUGCUAGGCUCAUACUAGAGAAGAAACGGGGAACAAACUGAUGAAAGAAUGAUCAUACCGAGGGAAUUCACUCAGAACUAACAAGAAUGAUAACGUGCUCCGACUGGAGCGGUUUAGGAACUGCUGGAAGGCUCUAGGGGAAUAAAGAUGGAAUGACUUCUUAUUUUUAGGUCCGUAUGAUUUGAAAUACAUGCACACAAACCCCAAGAAAGCGUUCCGGGAAAUCUCGGCCCAAAGAAUGAUGUUUAGUAAUUCUAAAAGGGACUAUAGAAUGAAAAACAAUAGUUUUGGCAGUUAAAGUUUGAGAUUUGACGGUGUCGUAGAUCUGUUUGGUCAUCAGGUGUUACGAGCCACACCCAUUUCUAGCUAGAAUAGUGUGUUAGGCUCAGGCUAGAAAAGAAACGGGGAACAAAGUGAUGAAAGAAUGAUCAUACCGAGGGAAUUCACUCAGAACUAACAAGAAUGAUAACAUGCUCCGACUAGAGCGGUUUAGGAACUGCUGGAAGGCUCUAGGGGAAUAAAUAUGGAAUGACUUCUAAUUUUCAGGUCCGUAUGAUUUGAAAUACUUGCACACAAACCGCGCGAAAGCGUUCCUGGAAAUCUCAUCCCAAAGAAGGUCGUUUAGUAAUUCUAAAAGGGACUACAGGAUGAAAAACAAUAGUUUUGGCAAUUUAAGGUUUGAGAUUCGACGGUGCCGUAGAUCCGUUUGGUCAUCAGGUGUUACGAGCCACACCCAUGUCUAGCUAGAAUAGUGUGCUAGGCUCAGGCUAGAGAAGAAACAGGGAACAAACUGAUGAAAGAAUGAUCAAACCGAGGGAAUUCACUCAGAACUAACAAUAAUGAUAACGUUCUCCGUCUGGAGCGGUUUAGGAACUGCUGGAAGGCUCUAGGGGAAUAAAGAUGGAAUGACUUCUAAUUUUUAGGUCCGUAUGAUUUGAAAUACUUGCACACAAACCGCGCCAAAUCGUUCCUGGAAAUCUCAGCCCAAAAAAGGACGUUUAGUAAUUCUAAAAGGGACUACAGGAUGAAAAACAAUAGUUUUGGCAGUUAAAGUUUGAGAUUCGAUGGUGCCGUAGACCCGUUUGGUCAUCAGGUGUUACGAGCCACACCCAUGUCUAGCUAGAGUAGUGUGCUAGGUUCAGACUAGAGAAGAAACAGGGAACAAAGUGAUGAAAGAAUGAUCAUACCGAGGGAAUUCACUCAGAACUAACAAGAAUGAUAACGUGCUCCGACUGGAGCGGUUUAGGAACUGCUGGAAGGCUCUAGGGGAAUAAAGAUGGAAUGACUUCUAAUUUUUACGUCCGUAUGAUUUGAAAUACUUGCACACAAACCACGCAAAAGCGUUCCUGGAAAUCUCAGCCUAAAAAAGGACGUUUAGUAAUUCAAAAAGGGACUACAAAAUGAAAAACAAUAGUUUUGGCAGUUAAAGUUUGAGAUUCGAUGGUGCCGUAGAUCCGUUUGGUCAUCAGGUGUUACGAGCCACACCCAUGUCUAGCUAGGAUAGUGUGUUAGGCUCAGGCUAGAGAAGAAACGGGGAACAAACUGAUGAAAGAAUGAUCAUACCGAGGGAAUUCACUCAGAACUAACAAGGAUGAUAACAUGCUCCGACUAGAGCGGUUUAGGAACUGCUGGAAGGCUCUAGGGGAAUAAAGAUGGAAUGACUUCUAAUUUUUAGGUCCGUAUGAUUUGAAAUACUUGCACACAAACCGCAAGAAAGCGUUCCUGGAAAUCUCAGCCCAAAAAAGGACGUUUAGUAAUUCUAAAAGGGACUACAGGAUGAAAAACAAUAGUUCUGGCAGUUAAAGUUUGAGAUUCGAUAAUGCCGUAGAUCUGUUUGGUCAUCAGGUGUAACGAGCCACACCCAUGUCUAGCUAGAGUAGUGUGCUAGGCUCAGACUAGAGAAGAAACGGGGAACAAACUGAUGAAAGAAUGAUUAUACCGAGGGAAUUCACUCAGAACUAACGAGAAUGAUAACGUGCUCCGACUGGAGCGGUUUAGGAACUGCUGGAAGGCUCUAGGGGAAUAAAGAUGGAAUGACUUCAAAUUUUUAGGUCUGUAUGAUUUGAAAUACUUGCACACAAACCGCAAGAAAGCGUUCCUUGAAAUCUCAGCCCAAAAAAGGACGUUUAGUAAUUCUAAAAGGGACUACAGGAUGAAAAACAAUAGUUCUGGCAGUUAAAGUUUGAGAUUCGAUAAUGUCGUAGAUCCGUUUGGUCAUCAGGUGUAACGAGCCACACCCAUGUCUAGCUAGAGUAGUGUGCUAGGCUCAGAAUAGAGAAGAAACGGGGAACAAACUGAUGAAAGAAUGAUCAUACCGAGGGAAUUCACUCAGAACUAACAAGAAUGAUAACGUGCUCCGACUGGAGCGGUUUAGGAACUGCUGGAAGGCUCUAGGGGAAUAAAGAAGGAAUGACUUCUAAUUUUUAGGUCCGUAUGAUUUGAAAUACGUGCACACAAACCGCGCGAAAGCGUUCCUGGAAAUCUCAGCCAAAAAAAGGACGUUUAGUAUUCUAAAAGGGACUACAGAAUGAAAAACAAUAGUUUUGGCAGUUAAAGUUUGAGAUUCGACGGUGCUGUAGAUCCGUUUGGUCAUCAGGUGUUACGAGCCACACCCAUGUCUAGCUAGAAUAGUGUGCUAGGCUCAGGCUAGAGAAGAAAAGGGGAACAAACUAAUGAAAGAAUGAUCAAUCCGAGGGAAUUCACUCAGAACUAACAAUAAUGAUAACGUGCUCCGACUGGAGCGGUUUAGGAACUGCUGGAAGGCUCUAGGCGAAUAAAGAUGGAAUGACUUCUAAUUUUUACGUCCGUAUGAUUUGAAAUACUUGCACACAAACCACGCAAAAGCGUUCCUGGAAGUCUCGGCCUAAAAAGGACGUUUAGUAAUUCUAAAAGGGACUACAGGAUGAAAAAUAAUAGUUUGGGCAGUUAAAAUUUGAGAUUCGACGGUGCCGUAGAUCCAUUUGGUCAUCAAGUGUUACGAGCCACACCCAUGUCUAGCUAGAAUAGUGUGUUAGGCUCAGGCUAGAGAAGAAACGGGGAACAAACUGAUGAAAGAAUGAUCAUACCAAGGGAAUUCACUCAGAACUAACAAGAAUGAUAACGUGCUCCGACUGGAGCAGUUUAGAAACUGCUGGAAGGCUCUUGGGGAAUAAAGAUGGAAUGACUUCAAAUUUUUAGGUCCGUAUGAUUUGAAAUACUUGCACACAAACCACGCGAAAGCGUUCCUGGAAAUCUCAGCCCAAAAAAGGACGUUUAGUAAUUCUAAAAGGGACUACAUGAUGAAAAACAAUAGUUUUGGCAGUUAAAGUUUGAGAAUCGUCGGUGCCGUAGAUCCGUUUGGUCAUCAGCUGUAACGAGCCACACCCAUGUCUAGCUAGAGUAGUGUGCUAGGCUCAGACUAGAGAAGAAACAGGGAACAAAGUGAUGAAAGAAUGAUCAUACCGAGGGAAUUCACUUAGAACUAACAAGAAUGAUAACAUGCUCCGACUUGAGCGAUUUAGGAACUUCUGGAAGGCUCUAGGGGAAUAAAGAUGGAAUGACUCAAAUUUUUAGGCCCGUAUGAUUUGAAAUACAUGCACACAAACCGCGAGAAAGUGUUCCUGGAAAUCUUAGCCCAAAAAAGGACGUUUAGUAAUUCUAAAAGGGACUACAGGAUGAAAAACAAUAGUUUUGGUAGUUAAAGUUUCAGAUUCGAUAAUGCCCUAGAUCCGUUUGGUCAUCAGGUGUAACGAGCCACACCAAUGUCUAGCUAGAGUAGUGUGCUAGGCUCAGACUAGAUAAGAAACGGGGAAGAAACUGAUGAAAGAAUGAUCAGACCGAGGGAAUUCACUCAGAACUAACAAUAAUGAUAACGUGCUCCGAGUGGAGCGGUUUAGGAACUGCUGGAAGGCUCUAGGGGAAUAAAGAUGGAAUGACUUCUAAUUUUUAGGUCCGUAUGAUUUGAAAUACGUGCACACAAACCCCGAGAAACCGUUCCUUGAAAUCUCGGCCCAAAAAAGGACGUUUAGUAAUUCUAAAAGGGACUACAAAAUGAAAAACAAUAGUUUUGGCAGUUAAAGUUUGAGAUUCGACGGUGUCGUAGACCCGUUUGGUCUUCAGGUGUUACGAGCCACACCCAUGUCUAGCCAGAGUAGUGUGCUAGGUUCAGACUAGAGAAGAAACGGGGAACAAAGUGAUGAAAGAAUGAUCAUACCGAGGGAAUUCACUCAGAACUAACAAGAAUGAUAACGUGCUCCGACUGGAGCGGGUUAGGAACUCCUGGAAGGCUCUAGGGGAAUAAAGAUGGAAUGACUUCUAAUUUUUACGUCCGUAUGAUUUGAAAUACUUGCACACAAACCACGCAAAAGCGUUCCUGGAAAUCUCAGCCUAAAAAAGGACGUUUAGUAAUUCUAAAAGGGACUACAGGAUGAAAAAUAAUAGUUUGGUCAUCAGGUGUUACGAGCCACACCCAUGUCUAGCUAGAAUAGUGUGCUAGGCUCAGGCUAGAGAAGAAACGGGGAAUAAACUGAUGAAAGAAUGAUCAAACCGAGGGAAUUCACUCAGAACUAACAAUAAUGAUAACGUUCUCCGUCUGGAGCGGUUUAGGAACUGCUGGAAGGCUCUAGGGGAAUAAAGAUGGAAUGACUUCUAAUUUUUAGGUCCGUAUGAUACGAAAUACUUGCACACAAACCGCGCGAAAUCGUUCCUGGAAAUCUCAGCCCAAAAAAGGACGUUUAGUAAUUCUAAAAGGGACUACAGCAUGAAAAACAAUAGUUCUGGCAGUUAAAGUUUGAGAUUCGAUAAUGCCGUAGAUCCGUUUGGUCAUCAGGUGUAACGAGCCACACCCAUGUCUAGCUAGAGUAGUAUGCUAGGCUCAGACUAGAGAAGAAACGGGGAACAAACUGAUGAAAGAAUGAUUAUACCGAGGGAAUUCACUCAGAACUAACAAGAAUGAUAACGUGCUCCGGCUGGAGCGGUUUAGGAACUGCUAGAAGGCUCUAGGGGAAUAAAGAUGGAAUGACUUCAAAUUUUUAGGUCUGUAUGAUUUGAAAUACUUGCACACAAACCGCAAGAAAGCGUUCCUGGAAAUCUCAGCCCAAAAAAGGACGUUUAGUAAUUCUAAAAGGGACUAUAGGAUGAAAAACAAUAGUUCUGGUAGUUAAAGUUUGAGAUUCGAUAAUGUCAUAGAUCCGUUCGGUCAUCAGGUGUAACGAGCCACACCCAUGUCUAGCUAGAGUAGUGUGCUAGGCUCAGACUAGAGAAGAAACGGGGAACAAACUGAUGAAAGAAUGAUCAUACCGAGGGAAUUCACUCAGAACUAACAAGAAUGAUAACGUGCUCCGACUGGAGCGGUUUAGGAACUGCUGGAAGGCUCUAGGGGAAGAAAGAAGGAAUGACUUCUAAUUUUUAGGUCCGUAUGAUUUGAAAUACGUGCACACAAACCGCGCGAAAGCGUUCCUGGAAAUCUCAGCCCAAAAAAGGACGUUUAGUAUUCUAAAAGGGACUACAGAAUGAAAAACAAUAGUUUUGGCAGUUAAAGUUUGAGAUUCGACGGUGCCGUAGAUCCGUUUGGUCAUCAGGUGUUACGAGCCACACCCAUGUCUAGCUAGAAUAGUGUGCUAGGCUCAGGCUAGAGAAGAAAAGGGGAACAAACUGAUGAAAGAAUGAUCAAACCGAGGGAAUUCACUCAGAACUAACAAUAAUGAUAACGUGCUCCGACUGGAGCGGUUUAGGAACUGCUGGAAGGCUCUUGGCGAAUAAAGAUGGAAUGACUUCUAAUUUUUACGUCCGUAUGAUUUGAAAUACUUCCACACAAACCAGGCAAAGGCGUUCCUGGAAAUCUCGGCCUAAAAAGGACGUUUAGUAAUUCUAAAAGGGACUACAGGAUGAAAAAUAAUAGUUUGGGCAGUUAAAAUUUUAGAUUCGACGGUGCCGUAGAUCCGUUUGGUCAUCAGGUGUUACGAGCCACACCCAUGUCUAGCUAGAAUAGUGUGUUAGGCUCAGGCUAGAGAAGAAACGGGGAACAAACUGAUGAAAGAAUGAUCAUACCAAGGGAAUUCACUCAGAACUAACAAGAAUGAUAACGUGCUCCGACUGGAGCAGUUUAGAAACUACUGGAAGGCUCUAGGGGAAUAAAGAUGGAAUGACUUCAAAUUUUUAGGUCCGUAUGAUUUGAAAUACUUGCACACAAACCGCGCGAAAGCGUUCCUGGAAAUCUCAGCCCAAAAAAGGACGUUUAGUAAUUCUAAAAGGGACUACAUGAUGAAAAACAAUAGUUUUGGCAGUUAAAGUUUGAGAUUCGUCGGUGCCGUAGAUCCGUUUGGUCAUCAGCUGUAACGAGCCACACCCAUUUCUAGCUAGAGUAGUGUGCUAGGCUCAGACUAAAGAAGAAAUGGGGAACAAAGUGAUGAAAGAAUGCUCAUACCGAGGGAAUUCACUCAGAACUAACAAGAAUGAUAACAUGCUCCGACUUGAGCGAUUUAGGAACUUCUGGAAGGCUCUAGGGGAAUAAAGAUGGAAUGACUCAAAUUUUUAGGUCCGUAUGAUUUGAAAUACUUGCACACAAACCGCGAGAAAGCGUUCCUGGAAAUCUCAGCCCAAAAAAGGACGUUUAGUAAUUCUAAAAGGGACUACAUGAUGAAAAACAAUAGUUUUGGCAGUUAAAGUUUGAGAUUUGAUAAUGCCGUAGAUCCGUUUGGUCAUCAGGUGUAACGAGCCACACCCAUGUCUAGCUAGAGUAGUGUGCUAGGCUAAGACUAGAUAAGAAAAGGGGAAGAAACUUAUGAAAGAAUGAUCAGACCGAGGGAAUUCACUCAGAACUAACAAUAAUGAUAACGUGCUCCGACUGGAGCGGUUUAGGAACUGCUGGAAGGCUCUAGGGGAAUAAAGAUGGAAUGACUUCUAAUUUUUAGGUCCGUAUGAUUUGAAAUACGUGCACACAAACCCCGAGAAACCGUUCCUGGAAAUCUCGGCCCAAAAAAGGAUGUUUAGUAAUUCUAAAAGGGACUACAAAAUGAAAAACAAUAGUUUUGGCAGUUAAAGUUUGAGAUUUGAUGGUGCCGUAGAUCUGUUUGGUCAUCAGGUGUUACGAGCCACACCCAUGUCUAGCUAGAAUAGUGUGUUAGGCUCAGGCUAGAAAAGAAACGGGAAACAAAGUGAUGAAAGAAUGAUCAUACCGAGGGAAUUCACUCAGAACUAACAAGAAUGAUAACAUGCUCUGACUGGAGCGGUUUAGGAACUGCUGGAAGGCUCUAGGGGAAUAAAGAUGGAAUGACUUCUAAUGUUUAGGUCCGUAUGAUUUGAAAUACUUGCACAUAAACCGCGCAAAAGCGUUCCUGGAAAUCUCAGCCCAAAAAAGGACGUUUAGUAAUUCUAAAAGGGACUACAGGAUGAAAAACAAUAGUUUUGGCAGUUAAAGUUUGAGAUUCGACGGUGCCGUAGAUCCGUUUGUUCAUCAGGUGUUACGAGCCACACCCAUGUCUAGCUAGAAUAGUGUGUUAGGCUCAGGCUAGAGAAGAAACGGGGAACAAACUGAUGAAAGAAUGAUCAAACCGAGGGAAUUCACUCAGAACUAACAAUAAUGAUAACGUGCUCCGACUAGAGCGGUUUAGGAACUGCUGGAAGGCUCUAGGGGAAUAAAGAUGGAAUGACUUCUAAUUUUUAGGUCUGUAUGAUUUGAAAUACUUGCACGCAAACCGCGCGAAAGCGUUCCCGGAAAUAUCAGCCUAAAGAAGGACGUUUAGUAAUUCUAAAAGGGACUACAGGAUGAAAAACAAUAGUUUUGGCAGUUAAAGUUUGAGAUUCAACGGUGCCGUAGAUCCGUUUGGUCAUCAGGUGUUACGAGCCACACCCAUGUCUAGCUAGAGUAGUGUGCUAGGCUCAGGCUAGAGAAGAAACAGGGAACAAACUGAUGAAAGAAUGAUCAUACCGAGGGAAUUCACUCAGAACUGAUGAAAGAAUGAUCAAACCAAGGAAAUUCACUCAGAACUAACAAUAAUGAUAACAUGCUCCGACUGGAGCGGUUUAGGAACUGCUGGAAGGCUCUAGGGGAAUAAAGAUGGAAUGACUUCUAAUUUUUAGGUCCGUAUGAUUUGAAAUACGUGCACACAAACCCCGAGAAACCGUUCCUGGAAAUCUCGGCCCAAAAAAGGACGUUUAGUAAUUCUAAAAGGGACAACAAAAUGAAAAACAAUAGUUUUGGCAGUUAAAGUUUGAGAUUCGACGGUGCCGUAGACCCGUUUGGUCAUCAGGUGUUACGAGCCACACCCAUGUCUAGCUAGAGUAGUGUGCUAGGUUCAGACUAGAGAAGAAACGGGGAACAAAGUGAUGAAAGAAUGAUCAUACCGAGGGAAUUCACUCAGAACUAACAAGAAUGAUAACGUGCUCCGACUGGAGCGGGUUAGGAAUUGCUGGAAGGCUCUAGGGGAAUAAAGAUAGAAUGACUUCUAAUUUUUACGUCCGUAUGAUUUGAAAUACUUGCACACAAACCACGCAAAAGCGUUCCUAGAAAUCUCAGCCUAAAAAAGGACGUUUAGUAAUUCUAAAAGGGACUACAGGAUGAAAAAUAAUAGUUUGGCCAGUUAAAAUUUAAGAUUCGACGGUGCCGUAGAUCCGCUUGGUCAUCAGGUGUUACGAGCCACACCCAUGUCUAGCUAGAAUAGUGUGUUAGGCUCAGGCUAGAGAAGAAACGGGGAACAAACUGAUGAAAGAAUGAUCAUACCGAGGGAAUUCACUCAGAACUAACAAGAAUGAUAACAUGCUCCGACUGGAGCGGUUUAGGAACUGCUGGAAGGCUCUAGGGGAAUAAAGAUGGAAUGACUUCUAAUUUUUAGGUCCGUAUGAUUUGAAAUACUUGCACACAAACCGCAAGAAAGCGUUCCUGGAAAUCUCAGCACAAAAAAGGACGUUUAGUAAUUCUAAAAGGGACUACAGCAUGAAAAACAAUAGUUCUGGCAGUUAAAGUUUGAGAUUCGAUAAUGCCGUAGAUCCGUUUGGUCAUCAGGUGUAACGAGCCACACCCAUGUCUAGCUAGAGUAGUGUGCUAGGCUCAGACUAGAGAAGAAACGGGGAACAAAAUGAUGAAAGAAUGAUUAUACCGAGGGAAUUCACUCAGAACUAACAAGAAUGAUAACGUGCUCCGACUGGAGCGGUUUAGGAACUGCUGGAAGGCUCUAGGGGAAUAAAGAUGGAAUGACUUCAAAUUUUUAGGUCUGUAUGAUUUGAAAUACUUGCACACAAACCGCAAGAAAGCGUUCCUGGAAAUCUCAGCCCAAAAAUGGACGUUUAGUAAUUCUAAAAGGGACUAUAGGAUGAAAAACAAUAGUUCUGGCAGUUAAAGUUUGAGAUUCGAUAAUGUCGUAGAUCCGUUCGGUCAUCAGGUGUAACGAGCCACACCCAUGUCUAGCUAGAGUAGUGUGCUAGGCUCAGACUAGAGAAGAAACGGGGAACAAACUGAUGAAAGAAUGAUCAUACCGAGGGAAUUCACUCAGAACUAACAAGAAUGAUAACGUGCUCCGACUGGAGCGGUUUAGGAACUGCUGGAAGGCUCUAGGGGAAGAAAGAAGGAAUGACUUCUAAUUUUUAGGUCCGUAUGAUUUGAAAUACGUGCACACAAACCGCGCGAAAGCGUUCCUGGAAAUCUCAGCCCAAAAAAGGACGUUUAGUAUUCUAAAAGGGACUACAGAAUGAAAAACAAUAGUUUUGGCAGUUAAAGUUUGAGAUUCGACGGUGCCGUAGAUCCGUUUGGUCAUCAGGUGUUACGAGCCACACCCAUGUCUAGCUAGAAUAGUGUGCCAGGCUCAGGCUAGAGAAGAAAAGGGGAACAAACUGAUGAAAGAAUGAUCAAACCGAGGGAUUUCACUCAGAACUAACAAUAAUGAUAACGUGCUCCGACUGGAGCGGUUUAGGAACUGCUGGAAGGCUCUAGGCGAAUAAAGAUGGAAUGACUUCUAAUUUUUACGUCCGUAUGAUUUUAAAUACUUGCACACAAACCACGCAAAAGCGUUCCUGGAAAUCUCGGCCUAAAAAGGACGUUUAGUAAUUCUAAAAGGGACUACAGGAUGAAAAAUAAUAGUUUGGGCAGUUAAAAUUUGAGAUUCGACGGUGCCGUAGAUCCGUUUGGUCAUCAGGUGUUACGAGCCACACCCAUGUCUAGCUAGAAUAGUGUGUUAGGCUCAGGCUAGAGAAGAAACAGGGAACAAACUGAUGAAAGAAUGAUCAUACCAAGGGAAUUCACUCAGAACUAACAAGAAUGAUAACGUGCUCCGACUGGAGCAGUUUAGAAACUGCUGGAAGGCUCUAGGGGAAUAAAGAUGGGAUGACUUCAAAUUUUUAGGUCCGUAUGAUUUGAAAUACUUGCACACAAACCGCGCGAAAGCGUUCCUGGAAAUCGCAGCCCAAAAAAGGACGUUUAGUAAUUCUAAAAGGGACUACAUGAUGAAAAACAAUAGUUUUGGCAGUUAAAGUUUGAGAUUCGUCGGUGCCGUAGAUCCGUUUGGUCAUCAGCUGUAACGAGCCACACCCAUGUCUAGCUAGAGUAGUGUGCUAGGCUCAGACUAGAGAAGAAAUGGGGAAAAAAGUGAUGAAAGAAUGAUCAUACCGAGGGAAUUCACUCAGAACUAACAAGAAUGAUAACAUGCUCCGACAUGAGCGAUUUAGGAACUUCUGGAAGGCUCUAGGGGAAUAAAGAUGGAAUGACUCAAAUUUUUAGGUCCGUAUGAUUUGAAAUACUUGCACACAAACCGCGAGAAAGCGUUCCUGGAAAUCUCAGCCCAAAAAAGGACAUUUAGUAAUUCUAAAAGGGACUACAGGAUGAAAAACAAUAGUUUUGGCAGUUAAAGUUUGAGAUUUGAUAAUGCCGUAGAUCCGUUUGGUCAUCAGGUGUAACGAGCCACACCCAUGUCUAGCUAGAGUAGUGUGCUAGGCUAAGACUAGAUAAGAAACCGGGAAGAAACUAAUGAAAGAAUGAUCAGACCGAGGGAAUUCACUCAGAACUAACAAUAAUGAUAACGUGCUCCGACUGGAGCGGUUUAGGAACUGCUGGAAGGCUCUAGGGGAAUAAAGAUGAAAUGACUUCUAAUUUUUAGGUUCGUAUGAUUUGAAAUACAUGCACACAAACCCCGAGAAACCGUUCCUGGAAAUCUCGGCCCAAAAAAGGAUGUUUAGUAAUUCUAAAAGGGACUACAAAAUGAAAAACAAUAGUUUUGGUAGUUAAAGUUUGAGAUUUGAUGGUGCCAUAGAUCUGUUUGGUCAUCAGGUGUUACGAGCCACACCCAUGUCUAGCUAGAAUAGUGUGUUAGGCUCAGGCUAGAAAAGAAACGGGAAACAAAGUGAUGAAAGAAUGAUCAUACCGAGGGAAUUCACUCAGAACUAACAAGAAUGAUAACAUGCUCUGACUGGAGCGGUUUAGGAACUGCUGGAAGGCUCUAGGGGAAUAAAGAUGGAAUGACUUCUAAUGUUUAGGUCCGAGGUCCGUAUGAUUUGAAAUACUUGCACAUAAACCGUGCAAAAGCGUUCCUGGAAAUCUCAGCCCAAAAAAGGACGUUUAGUAAUUCUAAAAGGGACUACAGGAUGAAAAACAAUAGUUUUGGCAGUUAAAGUUUGAGAUUCGACGGUGCCGUAGAUCCGUUCGUUCAUCAGGUGUUACGAGCCACACCCAUGUCUAGCUAGAAUAGUGUGUUAGGCUCAGGCUAGAGAAGAAACGGGGAACAAACUGAUGAAAGAAUGAUCAAACCGAGGGAAUUCACUCAGAACUAACAAUAAUGAUAACGUGCUCCGACUAGAGCGGUUUAGGAACUGCUGGAAGGCUCUAGGGGAAUAAAGAUGGAAUGACUUCUAAUUUUUAGGUCUGUAUGAUUUGAAAUACUUGCACGCAAACCGCGCGAAAGCGUUCCCGGAAAUAUCAGCCCAAAAAAGGACGUUUAGUAAUUCUAAAAGGGACUACAGGAUGAAAAACAAUAGUUUUGGCAGUUAAAGUUUGAGAUUCAACGGUGCCGUAGAUCCGUUUGGUCAUCAGGUGUUACGAGCCACACCCAUGUCUAGCUAGAGUAGUGUGCUAGGCUCAGGCUAGAGAAGAAACAGGGAACAAACUGAUGAAAGAAUGAUCAUACCGAGGGAAUUCACUCAGAACUGAUGAAAGAAUGAUCAAACCGAGGAAAUUCACUCAGAACUAACAAUAAUGAUAACAUGCUCCGACUGGAGCGGUUUAGGAACUGCUGGAAGGCUCUAGGGGAAUAAAGAUGGAAUGACUUCUAAUUUUUAGGUCCGUAUGAUUUGAAAUACGGGCACACAAACCCCGAGAAACCGUUCCUGGAAAUCUCGGCCCGAAAAAGGACGUUUAGUAAUUCUAAAAGGGACUACAAAAUGAAAAACAAUAGUUUUGGCAGUUAAAGUUUGAGAUUCGACGGUGCCGUAGACCCGUUCGGUCAUCAGGUGUAACGAGCCACACCCAUGUCUAGCUAGAGUAGUGUGCUAGGCUCAGACUAGAGAAGAAACGGGGAACAAACUGAUGAAAGAAUGAUCAUACCGAGGGAAUUCACUCAGAACUAACAAGAAUGAUAACGUGCUCCGACUGGAGCGGUUUAGGAACUGCUAGAAGGCUCUAGGGGAAGAAAGAAGGAAUGACUUCUAAUUUUUAGGUCUGUAUGAUUUGAAAUACGUGCACACAAACCGCGCGAAAGCGUUCCUGGAAAUCUCAGCCCAAAAAAGGACGUUUAGUAUUCUAAAAGGGACUACAGAAUGAAAAACAAUAGUUUUAGCAGUUAAAGUUUGAGAUUCGACGGUGCCGUAGAUCCGUCUGGUCAUCAGGUGUUACGAGCCACACCCAUGUCUAGCUAGAAUAGUGUGCUAGGCUCAGGCUAGAGAAGAAAAGGGGAACAAACUGAUGAAAGAAUGAUCAAACCGAGGGAAUUCACUCAGAACUAACAAUAAUGAUAACGUGCUCCGACUGGAGCGGUUUAGGAACUGCUGGAAGGCUCUAGGCGAAUAAAGAUGGAAUGACUUCUAAUUUUUACGUCCGUAUGAUUUGAAAUACUUGCACACAAACCACGCAAAAGCGUUCCUGGAAAUCUCGGCCUAAAAAGGACGUUUAGUAAUUCUAAAAGGGACUACAGGAUGAAAAAUAAUAGUUUGGGCAGUUAAAAUUUGAGAUUCGACGGUGCCGUAGAUCCGUUUGGUCAUCAGGUGUUACGAGCCACACCCAUCUCUAGCUAGAAUAGUGUGUUAGGCUCAGGCUAGAGAAGAAACGGGGAACAAACUGAUGAAAGAAUGAUCAUACCAAGGGAAUUCACUCAGAACUAACAAGAAUGAUAACGUGCUCCGACUGGAGCAGUUUAGAAACUCCUGGAAGGCUCUAGGGGAGUAAAGAUGGAAUGACUUCAAAUUUUUAGGUCCGUAUGAUUUGAAAUACUUGCACACAAACCGCGCGAAAGCGUUCCUGGAAAUCUCAGCCCAAAAAAGGACGUUUAGUAAUUCUAAAAGGGACUACAUGAUGAAAAACAAUAGUUUUGGCAGUUAAAGUUUGAGAUUCGUCGGUGCCGUAGAUCCGUUUGGUCAUCAGCUGUAACGAGCCACACCCAUGUCUAGCUAGAGUAGUGUGCUAGGCUCAGACUAGAGAAGAAAUGGGGAACAAAGUGAUGAAAGAAUGAUCAUACCGAGGGAAUUCACUCAGAACUAACAAGAAUGAUAACAUGCUCCGACUUGAGCGAUUUAGGAACUUCUGGAAGGCUCUAGGGGAAUAAAGAUGGAAUGACUCAAAUUUUUAGGUCCGUAUGAUUUGAAAUACUUGCACACAAACCGCGAGAAAGCGUUCCUGGAAAUCUCAGCCCAAAAAAGGACGUUUAGUAAUUCUAAAAGGGACUACAGGAUGAAAAACAAUAGUUUUGGCAGUUAAAGUUUGAGAUUCGAUAAUGUCGUAGAUCCGUUUGGUCAUCAGGUGUAACGAGCCACACCCAUGCCUAGCUAGAGUAGUGUGCUAGGCUAAGACUAGAUAAGAAACGGGGAAGAAACUGAUGAAAGAAUGAUCAGACCGAGGGAAUUCACUCAGAACUAACAAUAAUGAUAACGUGCUCCGACUGGAGCGGUUUAGGAACUGCUAGAAGGCUCUAGGGGAAUAAAGAUGGAAUGACUUCUAAUUUUUAGGUCCGUAUGAUUUGAAAUACGUGCACACAAACCCCGAGAAACCGUUCCUGGAAAUCUCGGCCCAAAAAAGUAUGUUUAGUAAUUCUAAAAGGGACUACAAAAUGAAAAACAAUAGUUUUGGCAGUUAAAGUUUGAGAUUUGAUGGUGCCGUAGAUCUGUUAGGUCAUCAGGUGUUACGAGCCACACCCAUGUCUAGCUAGAAUAGUGUGUUAGGCUCAGGCUAGAAAAGAAACGGGAAACAAAGUGAUGAAAGAAUGAUCAUACCGAGGGAAUUCACUCAGAACUAACAAGAAUGAUAACAUGCUCUGACUGGAGCGGUUUAGGAACUGCUGGAAGGCUCUAGGGGAAUAAAGAUGGAAUGACUUCUAAUGUUUAGGUCCGUAUGAUUUGAAAUACUUGCACAUAAACCGCGCAAAAGCGUUCCUGGAAAUCUCAGCCCAAAAAGGACGUUUAGUAAUUCUAGAAGGGACUACAGGAUGAAAAACAAUAGUUUUGGCAGUUAAAGUUUGAGAUUCGACGGUGCCGUAGAUCCGUUUGUUCAUCAGGUGUUACGAGCCACACCCAUGUCUAGCUAGAAUAGUGUGUUAGGCUCAGGCUAGAGAAGAAACGGGGAACAAACUGAUGAAAGAAUGAUCAAACCGAGGGAAUUCACUCAGAACUAACAAUAAUGAUAACGUGCUCCGACUAGAGCGGUUUAGGAACUGCUGGAAGGCUCUAGGGGAAUAAAGAUGGAAUGACUUCUAAUUUUUAGGUCUGUAUGAUUUGAAAUACUUGCACGCAAACCGCGCGAAAGCAUUCCCGGAAAUAUCAGCCCAAAAAAGGACGUUUAGUAAUUCUAAAAGGGACUACAGGAUGAAAAAGAAUAGUUUUGGCAGUUAAAGUUUGAGAUUCAACGGUGCCGUAGAUCCGUUUGGUCAUCAGGUGUUACAAGCCACACCCAUGUCUAGCUAGAGUAGUGUGCUAGGCUCAGGCUAGAGAAG